AUGCCCACUGAUUAUAGAAAGACGCGUUAUUCUGAGGAAUACAACCUGCUACCAGUCUUUCUUCUACCUUUUACUCCAUCUUUCCUCUCCUCUAUCUGUCCUCCACUCACUCUUCUCUAUAAACUGGUUGCUGGUCCGCUGACUGCGAUUAUGAGAUAUGAGGGCAU